AAUGGGGGAAACCCUGAUGCAGCCAUGCCGCGUGUGUGAAGAAGGCCUUAGGGUUGUAAAGCACUUUCAGUAGGGAGGAAUUAGCCUGGCGAAUAACCAGGUGAAAUGACGUUACCUACAGAAGAAGUACCGGCUAACUCCGUGCCAGCAGCCGCGGUAAUACGGAGGGUACAAACGUUAAUCGGAAUUACUGGGCGUAAAGCGCGCGUAGGUGGUUUAUCAAGUGGGAUGUGAAAGCCCGGGGCUUAACCUCGGAACUGCAUUCCAAACUGACAGACUAGAGUACGAUAGAGGGGGGUAGAAUUCAGUGUGUAGCGGUGAAAUGCGUAGAUAUACUGAGGAAUACCGGUGGCGAAGGCGGCCCCCUGGAUUGAUACUGACGCUGAGGUGCGAAAGCGUGGGGAGCAAACAGGAUU
rnacentral:rRNA from 1 species